rnacentral:pre_miRNA from 1 species
AUUCAAACCACCUGGAGAUUUUGUUAAGAAGUGAAUUUAGAUUCAUAUUCAGUGUGUUGGGAGGAAUCUAAGAUUUUGCAUUUCUAAUAAUCUCCUAGGUGAUGCGUAU